rnacentral:rRNA from 1 species
UACGUAGGGGGCUAGCGUUGUCCGGAUUUAUUGGGCGUAAAGAGCGUGUAGGCGGCCAGGUAGGUCCGUUGUGAAAACUCGAGGCUCAACCUCGAGACGUCGGCGGAAACCAUCUGGCUAGAGUCCGGAAGAGGAGAGUGGAAUUCCUGGUGUAGCGGUGAAAUGCGUAGAGAUCAUGAGGAAGACCAGUGGCGAAGGCGGGUCUCUGGACAGUUCCUGACACUGAGACACGAAGGCCAGGGGAGCAAACGGG